AUUGAACGCUGGCGGCAGGCCUAACACAUGCAAGUCGAGCGGAUGAAGGGAGCUUGCUCCUGGAUUCAGCGGCGGACGGGUGAGUAAUGCCUAGGAAUCUGCCUGGUAGUGGGGGAUAGCGUCCGGAAACGGGCGCUAAUACCGCAUACGUCCUGAGGGAGAAAGUGGGGGAUCUUCGGACCUCACGCUAUUAGAUGAGCCUAGGUCGGAUUAGCUAGUUGGUGGGGUAAAGGCCUACCAAGGCGACGAUCCGUAACUGGUCUGAGAGGAUGAUCAGGCACAGUGGAAGUGAGACACGGUCCAGACUCCGACGGGAGGCAGCAGUGGGGAAUGUUGGACAAUGGGCGAAAGCCUGAUCCAGCCAUGCAGCGGGUGUGAAGAAGGUCUUCGGAUGGUAAAGCACUUUAAGUUGGGAGGAAGGGCAGUAAGUUAAGACCUUGCUGUUUUGACGUUACCAACAGAAUAAGCACCGGCGAACUUCGU
rnacentral:rRNA from 1 species